rnacentral:rRNA from 1 species
CAGCCGCCGCGGGAAUACGUAGGGUGCGAGCGUUAAUCGGAAUUACUGGGCGUAAAGCGUGCGCAGGCGGUGAUGUAAGACAGUUGUGAAAUCCCCGGGCUCAACCUGGGAACUGCAUUUGUGACUGGCAAGCUAGAGUGUGGCAGAGGGGGGUGGAAUUCCGCGUGUAGCGGUGAAAUGCGUAGAGAUCUGGAGGAAUACCGGUGGCGAAGGCAGCCCCCUGGGCCAAUACUGACGCUCAUGCACGAAAGCGUGGGGAGCAAACAGGAUUAGAUACCCCCGUAGUCCCUGUCUCUUAUAC